rnacentral:tRNA from 1 species
UGAGGUGUUUAGCCUUCUUCUUGA